GGCCCGGCCGCGGGCCCGUUCUCGACCUUGACCACGGCUACGGCCGCGGCCGGGGGCCCCCGCAGCGCCUGCGGCCGGCCAGGGCGGCGAGGACGCAGGCCUGAGGCGCUGGAGGGCGAGCGCCUCCCGCCGGCGUGACGAGCGGCGCCGCCCGCCUGCCGCCACGGAGAGGAGGCAUGCCACCUUGCUUUGAAUUUGUGCCAUUGAAUGUAAUCAGAUUCCAGGGCUGAAAACAAGUUGGAAGCAAUUAGACAGAUUUUACAGCCAGCUCAUGUUUAACGUGCACCACCAGUGAAUCAGUUGGAGAAGGAAAUAGUUGAUGAUGAUUUGUCAUCUCACUGCUCAUGUGUACAGUUCAUGAUCAAGACAAGGAGACGCACCUUUCUCCAGAAGGAGGUUGAGCAAGACCUGACAAGAUGGACCCCACCUAACCCAGGUGCUCUACUACCUAGCGCUAACCUAGGUGGAGUUUGUCAGUAAGAGGCUUUCUUGGUCCCACCAUUCUUUUCCUAUUUCUUCUGCUACAUGCAGCUGUGAAACAUAGGAACAUUUUGGUUAAAGAGGAAAUGAAGGAAGCUUUUAGAGGCCAGUGGAGUUUUGCUGCAGGAGAAAAAAGAAAACAAACAAGAUUUGAAUUCCAGCUUGACCCUGAAAGACAGAUCCAAAGUAUGGACAAAGACAGAAGAUUCUGGCCCAUUGUGGAGUAAAUGAAGUGUCUCCUGGAAGAAAAAUACUCAGUUUUAUUUCUUUUACUCUUUAGCCUCAAAGUUUUCUGAGUCAA